rfam:Octopus bimaculoides Scaffold24035_contig_1, whole genome shotgun sequence.
AUAUUCUUGCUUUGGCAAUACAUCUGGUAGAAUUUGAAUGAUACAGAAAAGAUUAGUAUGGCCCCUGUGCAAUGAUGAUGUGCAAAUUAGUGAAGCAUUCCAUAUUUUC